CCUGGUUGAUCCUGCCAGUAGUCAUAUGCUUGUCUCAAAGAUUAAGCCAUGCAUGUGUAAGCACACACUGUUUAAAAGUGAAGCCGCGAAUGGCUCAUUACAACAGCCACAGUUUAUUAGAACUUACAAUCAUGGAUAACUGUGGUAAUUCUAGAGCUAAUACACGCACAAAAACUUCAACUGAAUUGGUUGAAGUGCUUUUAUUAGAACAAAAACCGAACGGCGUUUGACGAAUGUUGAACGUCGAAACUGUUUGGUGAAUCUGAAUAACUAUUUCUGAUCGCAUGGUCUAGCACCGGCGACAUCACUUUCAAGUGUCUGCCUUAUCAACCUUCGAUGGUAGUCUAUGCGACUACCAUGGUGAUAACGGGUAACGGAGAAUCAGGGUUCGACUCCGGAGAGGGAGCCUGAGAAACGGCUACCACAUCCAAGGAAGGCAGCAGGCGCGCAAAUUACCCACUCCCAGCUUGGGGAGGUAGUGACGAAAAAUAACGAGACGAUUCUCGUUUGAGAAACGUUAUCGAAAUGAGUACGCUUUACACACGCUAACGAGUAGCAAUUGGAGGGCAAGUCUGGUGCCAGCAGCCGCGGUAAUUCCAGCUCCAAUAGCGUAUAUUAAAGUUGCUGCGGUUAAAACGCUCGUAGUUGAAUUGUGGUCUUAGACAACAGUCCCCCUACAUAGGUGUGGCACGGUUGCUCGAGAUCUUCAUUCGUGGUUGCUGUUGUUGCUCUUCAUUGAGUGUCAAUGGUGCCUCGAGAUUUUACUUUGAAAAAAUUAGAGUGCUCAAAGCAGGUUGUGAUGCCUGAAUAAUGGUGCAUGGAAUAAUAGAAUACGAUCUCGGUUCUAUUUUGUUGGUUUUCGAACCGGAGAUAAUGAUUGAAAGGAACAGACGGGGGCAUUCGUAUUGCUGCGUUAGAGGUGAAAUUCUUGGAUCGCAGCAAGAUGAACAAUUGCGAAAGCAUUUGCCAAGAAUGUUUUCAUUAAUCAAGAACGAAAGUUAGAGGUUCGAAGGCGAUCAGAUACCGCCCUAGUUCUAACGGUAAACUAUGCCAACCAGCGAUUCGCCGAAGUUCAUUUAAGACUCGGCGAGCAGCUUCCGGGAAACCAAAGUGUUUCGGUUCCGGGGGAAGUAUGGUUGCAAAGCUGAAACUUAAAGGAAUUGACGGAAGGGCACCACCAGGAGUGGAGCCUGCGGCUUAAUUUGACUCAACACGGGAAAACUCACCCGGCCCGGACACUGGAAGGAUUGACAGAUUGACAGCUCUUUCUUGAUUCAGUGGGUAGUGGUGCAUGGCCGUUCUUAGUUGGUGGAGCGAUUUGUCUGGUUAAUUCCGAUAACGAACGAGACUCUACCCUAUUAAAUAGUGACAGUAUUGUAUUUUUUGUGCUGAUCACUUCUUAGAGGGACUGGCAAAUUGAAAGCUGCACGAAAAAGAGCAAUAACAGGUCUGUGAUGCCCUUCGAUGUCCGGGGCUGCACGCGCGCUACAAUGAAAGCGUCAACGUGAGUUACGUCCUUACCUGAAAAGGUUUGGCAAUCGAAUGAAACGUUUUCUUGAAUGGAAUAGGGAAUUGCAAUUGUUUCCCUUGAACGAGGAAUUCCCAGUAAGCGUGAGUCAUUAGCUCGCGUUGAUUACGUCCCUGCCCUUUGUACACACCGCCCGUCGCUACUACCGAUUGGAUGAUUUAGUGAGGUGUUUUGACUGGCGCCAGUAGUCGGAUGUAUUCGGCUUCGCGCCGGGAAAUUUCCCAAACCAAAUCAUCUAGAGGAAGUAAAAGUCGUAACAAGGUUUCCGUAGGUGAACCUGCGGAAG
rnacentral:rRNA from 1 species